GCACUGCCUUGGAACCUUUGUGAGUCUGGCCUGUGACUUCGGGGGUCUCGCGGCAGUGCCAGAGCAGACCCAGCUUGCCCACAUCUGGGCUGCUCAGGUACCACCUUGGCAAUUCCUUUGGCAGAAAGCGACGUUC